ACUCCUACGGGAGGCAGCAGUGGGAAUCUUGGACAAUGGGGGCAACCCGUGCAUCCAGCCAUGCCGCGUGAGUGAUGAAGGCCUUAGGGUCGUAAAGCUCUUUCGCCUGUGAUGAUAAUGACAGUAGCAGGUAAAGAAACCCCGCGUAACAUCCGUGCCAGCAGCCGCGGUAAUACGGAGGGGGUUAGCGUUGUUCGGAAUUUACUGGGCGUAAAGCGCGCGUAGGCGGAUUAGUCAGUUAGAGGUGAAAUCCCAGGGCUCAACCCUGGAACUGCCUUUAAUACUGCUAGUCUUGAGUUCGAGAGAGGUGAGUGGAAUUCCGAGUGUAGAGGUGAAAUUCGUAGAUAUUCGGAGGAACACCAGUGGCGAAGGCGGCUCACUGGCUCGAUACUGACGCUGAGGUGCGAAAGUGUGGGGAGCAAACAGGAUUAGAUACCCUGGUAGGCUCUGCU
rnacentral:rRNA from 1 species